rnacentral:rRNA from 1 species
AAUCAACGCUGGCGGCGUGCCUCAGACAUGCAAGUCGAACGAGAAAGUUCCCUUCGGGGGAUGAGUAAAGUGGCGCACGGGUGAGUAACACGUAGGUAAUCUACCUUCGGGUGGGAAUAACCCAGGGAAACUUGGGCUAACACCGCAUAAUGCAGCGGCACCACAUGGUGACAGUUGUUAAAGCGGGGGAUUUUAGGACCUCGCGCCUGGAGAGGAGCCUGCGGCGGAUUAGCUUGUUGGAAGGUAACGGCUUACCAAGGCGACGAUCCGUAACCGGCCUGAGAGGGCGGUCGGGUCACACUGACACUGACAUACGGGUCGAGACUCCUACGGGAGGCAGCAGUCGGGAAUUUUGGGCAAUGGGCGAAAGCCUGACCCAGCAACGCCGCGUGAAGGAU